rnacentral:rRNA from 1 species
UACGGAGGGUGCAAGCGUUGUCCGGAUUUAUUGGGUUUAAAGGGUGCGUAGGUGGGACCUCAAGUCUGGUUUGAAAGCUGGUUGCUCAACGACAAGAUGUGGCUGGAAACUGGGGUUCUUGAAUGGGUUGGCGGCUGCCGGAACGGGUCAUGUAGCGGUGAAAUGCAUAGAUAUGACCCAGAACCCCGAUUGCGAAGGCAGCUGACUAGGCUGUUACUGACGCUGAGGCACGAAAGCGUGGGGAGCGAACAGG